AUUGAACGCUGGCGGCAUGCCUUACACAUGCAAGUCGAACGGCAGCACGGGAGCAAUCCUGGUGGCGAGUGGCGAACGGGUGAGUAAUAUAUCGGAACGUGCCCAGUCGUGGGGAUAACGUAGCGAAAGCUACGCUAAUACCGCAUACUAUCUAUGGAUGAAAGCGGGGGAUCGCAAGACCUCGCGCGAUUGGAGCGGCCGAUAUCAGAUUAGGUAGUUGGUGAGGUAAAGGCUCACCAAGCCGACGAUCUGUAGCUGGUCUGAGAGGACGACCAGCCACACUGGGACUGAGACACGG
rnacentral:rRNA from 1 species